UUCUCAAAGUUAAUUACCUUCUGGUUACUUGGUAUUUGUACUAUCAAAGAUAUAUAAGAGAGAAAAUGGCGGUCUGCCCAGAACAAGAACACCCCACCAAGGCCUUCGGAUGGGCUGCUAGAGAUUCAUCUGGUGUUCUCUCUCCCUUCAAAUUCUCUAGAAGGACAACAGGAAAAAACGACGUGACAUUCAAAGUAUUAUAUUGUGGGAUAUGUCAUACAGACCUUAGCAUGCUCAAGAAUGAAUGGGGUGUUUCUAUGUAUCCUCUACUUCCUGGGCACGAGAUUGUUGGUCUAGUGACAGAGGUGGGCAGCAACGUAGAGAAAUUCAAAGUUGGAGACAGUGUUGGUGUUGGAUAUCUUGUCGGAUCUUGCCAAUCUUGUGAUAGUUGUAGCAACAAUGCUGAGAAUUACUGCCCCGAAAUGAUACUCACGGGCGGUGCCAAGUACUAUGAUGGAUCCACAACAUAUGGAGGUUACUCCAACAUCAUGGUGGCCGACGAGCACUUCGUAGUUCGUAUCCCGGACAACCUGCCACUUGAUGGUGCUGCUCCUCUCCUAUGUGCUGGGGUUACAACUUACAGCCCCUUGAGAUAUUUCGGACUUGACAAGCCCGGUAUGCAUGUGGGUGUGGUUGGCGUAGGCGGUCUAGGCCAUGUGGCCGUAAAGUUUGCAAAGGCUAUGGGGGUUAAGGUCACAGUGAUCAGCACCUCCCCUAAUAAGAAAAAGGAAGCCAUUGAAAACCUUGGUGCUGAUUCCUUUUUGGUCAGCCGCGACAACGGCCAAAUGCAGGCUGCCAUGGGCACCAUGGAUGGUAUCAUUGACACAGUUUCUGCUGUCCACCCUCUCUUGCCUUUGCUUGGUUUAUUGAAGACUAAUGGGAAGCUUGUUUUGGUUGGAGUACCAGCGAAGCCUCUUGAGCUACCUGUUUUUCCUUUGAUCAGUGGAAGGAAGAUAGUGGCUGGUAGCACUGUUGGAGGUCUGAAGGAGACACAAGAGAUGAUUGAUUUUGCAGGAAAACACAACAUAACAGCUAACGUCGAGGUUAUCCCAAUUGAUUAUGUGAACACUGCUAUGGAGCGUCUCAUCAAAGCAGAUGUUAGAUACCGUUUCGUCAUCGACAUUGCAAACACAUUGAAGUCAAGCUCUUAAAUUUUAUUUGGUUUACACAGUUUGGAAGCUCAAAUAUAUGGCCUACUUGCACGCUGCCGCCUCAUAGCCUUAAUGUUGAAGUUGAUACUUGUACUUAAAGAAGAUAGGAGAGAAAGUGGUGGUAUCUCCAGAACAAGAACACCCCAAGAAGGCCUUUGGAUGGGCUACCAGAUAUUCAUCUGGUGUUCUCUCUCCCUUCAGAUUCUCCAGAAGGGCAACAGGAGAGAACGACGUGACGUUCAAAGUAUUAUACUGUGGGAUAUGCCACACAGACCUUCACAUGGUCAUGGGAUAUGCCACACAGACCUUCACAUGGUCAAGAAUGAAUGGGGUCUUUCAACGUAUCCUCUAAUUCCCGGGCAUGAGAUUGUUGGUGUAGUGACAGAGGUGGGGAGCAAAGUAGAGAAACUUAAAGUUGGAGACCAUGUUGGUGUUGGAUAUAUGAUCGGAGCUUGCCAAUCAUGUGACAGUUGUUCCAACAAUGCUGAGAAUUACUGCCCCGAAAUGAUACCCACCUCCGGCGCCAAGUACCACGAUGGAACCACAACAUAUGGAGGUUACUCCGACUUCAUGGUGGCGAAUGAGCACUUCGUAGUGCAUGUUCCCGACAACCUGCCUCUUCACGGUGCUGCUCCUCUCCUAUGUGCUGGGGUUACAACUUACAGCCCCUUGAGGUAUUUCGGACUUGACAAACCCGGCAUGCAUGUGGGUGUGGUAGGCGUCGGCGGUCUGGGCCACGUGGCCGUGAAGUUUGCAAAGGCUAUGGGGGUUAAGGUCACAGUGAUCAGUACCUCCCCCAAUAAGAAAGCGGAAGCCAAAACGUCGGUGCUGAUUCAUUUUUGGUCAGCAGCGACGAUGGGCAAAUGAAGGCUGCCUUGGGCACAAUGGAUGGUAUCAUUGACACCGUUUCUGCUGUCCACCCUCUCUUGCCUUUGAUUGGUUUAUUGAAGAAUAAUGGAAAGCUUGUUUUGGUUGGAGCACCAGAGAAGCCUCUUGAGCUACCUGUUUUUCCUUUGCUCAUGGGAAGGAAGAUAGUGGCUGGUAGUGUUGUUGGAGGUAUGAAGGAAACCCAAGAGAUGAUUGAUUUUGCAGGUAAACACAACAUAACAGCAAACGUCGAGGUUAUCCCAGUUGAUUAUGUGAACACAGCUAUGGAGCGUCUCAUCAAAACAGAUGUUAAAUACCGUUUUGUCAUCGACAUUACAAACACAUUGAAGUCAACCUCUUAAAUUUUACAUCCCAAAGUUACUCAUCUUGGCAAAAUAAGAUUAUAUACCAAAUUCGAUUUAGUUGUUUCGGCGAUGUUGUCUACCGUAUGGUGAAAAUUAUACAUUUUCAUGAGCACAAUGUAAUAUGUUAGAUUUUGAUUACGUGAAAUUGAUAUGUUUUAUUCUGAUA